rnacentral:rRNA from 1 species
AGAGUUUGAUCCUUGCUCAGAUUGAACGCUGGCGGCAUGCUUUACACAUGCAAGUCGAACGGUAACAGGUCUUCGGAUGCUGACGAGUGGCGAACGGGUGAGUUAUACAUCGGAACGUGCCUAGUAGUGGGGGGUAACUACUCGAAAGAGUAGCUAAUACAGCAUGAGAUCUACGGAUGAAAGCAGGGGGCCUUCGGGCCUUGUGCUACUAGAGCGGCUGAUGGCAGAAUAAGUAGUUGGUGGGGGAAAGGCUUACCAAGCCUGCGAUCUGUAGCUGGUCUGAGAGGACGACCAGCCACACUGGGACUGAGACACGGCCCAGACUCCUACGGGAGGGAGCAGUGGGGAAUUUUUGACAAUGGGCGAAAACUGAUCCAGCAAUGCCGCGUGCAGGAUGAAAGCCCUCGGGUUGUUAACUGCUUUUGUACGGAACGAAAAACCUGGGGGUAAUAUCCCCGGGUCAUGACGGUACCGUAAGAAUAAGCACCGGCUAACUACGUGCCAACAGCCGCGGGUAAUACGUAAGGUGCGAGCGUUCAAUCGGGAAUUACUGGGCGUAAAGCGUGCGCACGCGGUUUUUUUAGACAGUUGUGAAACCCCCGGCUCAACCUGGGAACUGCCAUUGUGACUGCAAGGCUAGAGUUCGGCAGAAGGGAUGGAAUUCCGCGUGUUAGCAAUAAAAUGCGUAGAUAUGCGGAGGACACACCGAUAGCGAAGACGAAUCCCCUGGGCCUGCACUGUAACGCUCAUGCACAAAAGCGUGGGGAACAAACAGGAUUAGAUAUCCCUUGUUACUCCACCCCCUAAACGAUGUCAACUGGUUGUUGGGUCUUAACUGACUCAGUAACGAAACUAACGCGUGAAGUUCACCGCCUGGGGAGUACGCCCGCAAGGUUGACACUCAAAGGAAUUGACGGGGCCCCGCACAAGCGGUGGAUGUUGUGUUUUAAUUCGAUGCAACGCGAAAACCCUUAUCCCCCUUUGACAUGGCAGGAACUUCCCAGAGAUGUUUUGGUGCUCAAAAGAGAACCUGCACACAGGUGCUGCAUGGCUGUCGUCAGCUCGUGUCGUGAGUUGUUGGUUUAAGUCCCGCAACGAGCGCAACCUUUGCCAUUAGUUGCUACAUUCAGUUGAGCACUCUAAUGGAACUGCCGGUGACAAACCGGAGGAAGGUGGGGAUGACGUCAAGUCCUCAUGCCCCUUAUAGGUGGGGCAACACACGUCAUACAAUGGCUGGUACAAAGGUUUCCCACCCGCGAGGGGGAGCUAAUCCCAUAAAGCCAGUCGUAGUCCGGAUCGCAGUCUGCAACUCGACUGCGUGAAGUCGGAAUCGCUAGUAAUCGUGGAUCAGAAUGUCACGGUGAAUACGUUCCCGGUUCUUGUACACACCGCCCGUCACACCAUGGGAGCGGGUCUCGCCAGAAGUAGGUAGCCUAACCGCAAGGAGGGCGCUUACCACGGCGGGGUUCGUGACUGGGGUGAAGUCGUAACAA